GCGGCAUUCAGCCAGUGCGUCCACGUCUUUCAGCGAUACCGCUGCUCCGGUGUUACAAGUGCUCGAUUUAAAAAGAAUUAAAAACGAAAUAAAAAAAUCGAGUACAUGUAAAGUAGAAAACGUUAAUCAUGAUUUAUAGUGACGUUUGAUAGAUCACUAGUGGAACGAAAAGGGAAUUUUCCACGACACGGUUGUUAUUGCGGCGGGAAGCGAUACACUGUGACGUGUCACGUGGUACUUCGAUCUGUCAAAACGAGACAGAGAGGGGGGAUGGGAGAGCGGGACGGAGAGAUCGCGUGCCUCCAUCUGACGUGAACAUGGAUAACAAUUGCGGAAACGCGUCGCUCGCAGCGGUUAUGACGUCACGCGGCCGGACACCGGAAGUGACCGCGGCACCGCGCCGGAACCGGAUGUCGCUGCAGUGUGCGAUAUCGUAAGCCGAGUUCAAUUAAAAACAUCACUUGAACCCAUACUAGAGGUCGAGGCUUUAAACAAAUGCAAAACGGGAGCCCUUGACAUCGCACUUCAAGACUACAUUACUGUCCCAGCAAUACGCACACAACAGCAUAUGUUUACAAACAUCUAAUUAGUGUGUGUGACCCACCCUGUGGGUGUAAGGCUAAGGAGAUGAUCCAUCCUUGGGCAGCGAAUUUUCCUGUAAACAGAAGAAAAACGAUAUCUUUUUAUUACAGUAAUUGUUUAAAGCGUGUAAAAUAUUACUGUAUUUUCUUUUAACAUAAAGAGAAUAAAGCCA